rnacentral:misc_RNA from 1 species
GGGUGGGCGCAUGGUGGUGUUCACUAGUGGAAUCGUCGAUGAUUGGGUCGCUGCCUGCGGGUGGGUCCCUCAGUACUGCUCGUGUCUCGUGCCGGCCCUUUGGGGUUGGUGUGGGGUGUGGGUGUGGAACCUGGGGUCUGUUGGUGGGUGGUGGCUGUUCGGACACACUGUUGGGUCCUGAGGGAUCAGGCUCCGCAUCGUCUCCUGCUGAAUUGGGGGGUGGUGGGGGUUGGUUUCUCUGGUUGUCUCCUCCUUUGUCUGCUCCGCGACCGGUUGGUUGGGGGUGGGGGUUGGUGGGGUUGUUGUUUGAGAUCUGC